UCUGGUGGCAAUGGCGGAGGGGUUCCACGCGUACCCAUCCCGAACACGACCGUUAAGCCCUCCAGCGCCAAUGGUACUUGGACCGAAGGGUCCUGGGAGAGUAGGACGUCGCCAGGC
rnacentral:rRNA from 1 species